rnacentral:rRNA from 1 species
UCGCUCCUACCGAUUGGGUGUGCUGGUGAAAUGUUCGGAUUGGCGACUCUGCGCGGUUUCCGCUCGUUGUUGUCGAGAAGUUCAUUAAACCCUCCCACCUAGAGGAAGGAG